UACGUAGGGCGCGAGCGUUGUCCGGAUUUAUUGGGCGUAAAGAGCUCGUAGGCGGUUUGUUGCGUCUGCUGUGAAAACGCGGGGCUUAACUUCGCGCGUGCAGUGGGUACGGGCAGGCUAGAGUGCGGUAGGGGAGAUUGGAAUUCCUGGUGUAGCGGUGGAAUGCGCAGAUAUCAGGAGGAACACCGAUGGCGAAGGCAGGUCUCUGGGCCGUUACUGACGCUGAGGAGCGAAAGCGUGGGGAGCGAACAGGAUUAGAUACC
rnacentral:rRNA from 1 species